rnacentral:rRNA from 1 species
CCUACGGGUGGCAGCAGUGGGGAAUAUUGGGCAAUGGGGGCAACUCUGACCCAGCAACGCCGCGUGAAUGAUGAAGGUUUUCGGAUUGUAAAGUUCUUUUCUAAGGGAAGAAGAAAGUGACGGUACCUGACGAAUAAGCCACGGCUAACUACGUGCCAGCAGCCGCGGUAAUACGUAGGUGGCGAGCGUUAUCCGGAUUUACUGGGUGUAAAGGGUGCGUAGGUGGUUUGGCAAGUUAGUAGCGUAACUCCAAGGCUCAACCUUGGAACUACUACUAAAACUGUUGGACUUGAGUGCAGGAGGGGCAACCGGAAUUCCGAGUGUAGCGGUGGAAUGCGUAGAUAUUAGGAGGAACACCAGUGGCGAAGGCGGGUUGCUAGACUGUAACUGACACUGAGGCACGAAAGCGUGGGGAGCAAACAGGAUUAGAUACCCGUGUAGUC